GCUCUGGUAAUGCAGGGUUAGCACUCGCCCUGGGAAGCGUGAGACGCGGGUUCAACUCCCGCCUGAGGCU